GAUGAACGCUAGCGGGAGGCUUAACACAUGCAAGUCGAGGGGCAUCACGAGGUAGCAAUACUUUGGUGGCGACCGGCGCACGGGUGAGUAACGCGUAUGCAACCUACCUUGUACAGGAGGAUAGCCCGGAGAAAUUCGGAUUAAUACCCCAUAAUGAUAUUUUAUGGCAUCAUAAAAUAUUUAAAGCUCAGGCGGUACGGGAUGGGCAUGCGUAACAUUAGCUAGUUGGUAGGGUAAUGGCCUACCAAGGCGACGAUGUUUAGGGGUCCUGAGAUGGUGAUCCCCCACACUGGUACUGAGACACGGACCAGACUCCUACGGGAGGCAGCAGUGAGGAAUAUUGGUCAAUGGGCGCGAGCCUGAACCAGCCAUCCCGCGUGAAGGAAGACUGCCCUAUGGGUUGUAAACUUCUUUUCCAGGGGAAUAAAAUCUCGAGCGAGUUCGGGACUGAAGGUACCCUGGGAAUAAGCAUCGGCUAACUCCGUGCCAGCCGCCGCGGUAAAAC
rnacentral:rRNA from 1 species